UGACUCUUUGCUUAUCGAUAAAUGCUUAAGUGUUUAACCACAGUUAAUGAAAUCAUUUUGGAAUAACAUUUUUUUUUUAGUUAAUCUCAAUAAUUAAAUGUGAUUGACAUUCAAUCAACUUCUGAAUCUUUCACUUUACUAGGACUUCAUCACAUAAGAAACAUUUGGCAUAUCGAUGUCACAUUGUUUAUCGAUAAAUGCUUAAGUGAUUUGCCACAAUUUGUAACGACGCAAAAUGACAACAAUGUUGCCCUGAAGUGGAUGCCAUAUAACAAAAACUAAAAAUACUACGAAAUUGUUGCGUGUCAAGCAGACAGACGUCGCUUAUCAGUUGACAAUAGGCCAAAGCAUACUCUUCACACACACACACACACUCAAACAUGCAUAGAAGCAAGCGAAAAUGCAUAAGCACCUACUCAACAGUUGCUCAACAGUUUUGACGGCGGCGUCUGCGACGUUUGUAUUUAAAUUGCAAUUACAGCAAAAACACCUGCCAAAGCAGUAGCAGCAGAAAGAACAACAACAAUGGCGACGGCUGCUUAUCAACAAUAACGGCAUGUCGUAACGCCCUCUUGCUUACUACUCCACCUUCUCCCUCUCAUCCUCCUUCUCCUUCUCCCCCACUCAAGCAACUGAUUACAAUGUCAUUCGCACGUGUAAGCCGUUAAAUAUGCAAGCAACCUUAAGACGAAGCUACGCAAGAGAGCAAGAGAGCGAGAGAGCGCAAAAGAGUGAGGCAAUGGAGGCAGCGCAGUUUGGCGCCUGCAACGUAAAAAGCCUCAAUUUUGCAUUUUGCAUUUAAGAAAAAUAAUACAAAACGUCACUGCCGACGUCGACGCCAACUGAGGACUAGCUGCCCCCACUCACACACACACACACACGCAUACACACUUGUUGACAUUAUUUACGCAGUUGGUUGGUUCCGCAAUGGCGACGACGCAUUUACUAUGAACAUAAAAUAACAAAAACGCAAAAAGCCAAGAACAAGCAGAAAAUAGCAUUUAAAAAAAAAAGAAGAAAAUAAAAAAAAAAUAGUACACGCGCGAAAAUAAUUGCGCAAAAUAGCAGCUACAACUACAACAAUAAUAAUAAAAGCGACGAAGUGCAGCUGAAAAAGCAACAACAACAACAAAAUGCCAAACACAAAACUGCAUAACAAAUGCAAAGAAAGGCGAACAACCAAAACUAACACUGACUGACUGUGCGAUAUCCGAUCGAAAUAUUUGAGCAGCGAAUUAAACUUAAAUUACAAUUUUUAUUUAACUUAACUAAUAUAGUAAUUGUAUUAAUUGUUUUUUUAUUUUAUAUUAAAAUUCACUUAAAUAUUUCUUUAA